rnacentral:rRNA from 1 species
UACGAAGGGGCUAGCGUUGCUCGGAAUGACUGGGCGUAAAGGGCGCGUAGGCGGAUGGCACUGACAGUCGUAUGGAAAAUUCCCGGGCUUAACCUGGGGGCUGCAUUUGAUACGUGUUGUCUAGAGUGAGGAAGAGGGUUGUGGAAUUCCCAGUGUAGAGGUGAAAUUCGUAGAUAUCGGGAGGAACACCGGUGGCGAAGGCGGUUCUCUGGGCCUGACCUGACGCUGAGGAGCGAAAGCGUGGGGAGCAAACAGG